rnacentral:rRNA from 1 species
AUACGUAGGGGGCAAGCGUUAUCCGGAUUUACUGGGUGUAAAGGGAGCGCAGGUGGUGCGUCAAGUCAGAUGUGAAAGCCCGAGGCUCAACUUCGGGACUGCAUUUGAAACUGGCGUGCUGGAGUGCAGGAGAGGUAAGUGGAAUUCCUAGUGUAGCGGUGAAAUGCGUAGAUAUUAGGAGGAACACCAGUGGCGAAGGCGGCUUACUGGACUGUAACUGACACUGAGGCUCGAAAGCGUGGGGAGCAAACAGGAUUAGAUACCCUGGUAGUCCACGCCAUAAACGAUGAAUACUAGGUGUCGGGGGCCAAAAGGCCCCCGGUGCCGCAGCCAACGCAAUAAGUAUUCCACCUGGGGAGUACGUUCGCAAGAAUGAA